rnacentral:rRNA from 1 species
CUGGAGGUAUCAGAAGUGCGAAUGCUGACAUAAGUAACGAUAAAGCGGGUGAAAAGCCCGCUCGCCGGAAGACCAAGGGUUCCUGUCCAACGUUAAUCGGGGCAGGGUGAGUCGACCCCUAAGGCGAGGCCGAAAGGCGUAGUCGAUGGGAAACAGGUUAAUAUUCCUGUACUUGGUGUUACUGCGAAGGGGGGACGGAGAAGGCUAUGUUGGCCGGGCGACGGUUGUCCCGGUUUAAGCGUGUAGGCUGGUUUUCCAGGCAAAUCCGGAAAAUCAAGGCUGAGGCGUGAUGACGAGGCACUACGGUGCUGAAGCAACAAAUGCCCUGCUUCCAGGAAAAGCCUCUAAGCAUCAGGUAACAUCAAAUCGUACCCCAAACCGACACAGGUGGUCAGGUAGAGAAUACCAAGGCGCUUGAGAGAACUCGGGUGAAGGAACUAGGCAAAAUGGUGCCGUAACUUCGGGAGAAGGCACGCUGAUAUGUAGGUGAAGUCCCUUGCGGAUGGAGCUGAAAUCAGUCGAAGAUACCAG